ensembl:lncRNA
GCUAAGACCAGCGUGACAGUGGCCAAAACUACUUUAAAACCAUGUUAAAAGCAUGUUAAAAGCAUGUUUCUAACCGGAUUAUCAAGUUACUAACAUGUUGUUAACAUGUUUCUAUGAUAAUCUAGCUAAAACCAGUUGAUUCAGUAAAGAAAACCAGCUAAGACCAGCUAAGGCCAGCGUGACAGUGGCCAAAACCACUUUAAACCAUGUUAGAAGUAUGUUUCUAGUCUGAUAAGCAAGUUACUAGCAUGUUGUUAACAUUUUUCUAUUCUAAUCCAGCUAAAACCAGUUGAUUCAGUAAAGAAAACCAGCUAAAACCAGCUAAAACCACCUAAGGCCAGCGUGACAGUGGCCAAAACCACUUUAAAACCAUGUUAAAAGCAUAUUUCUAGUCUGAUUAGUGAGUAACUAGCAUGUUGUUUUCAUUUUUCUAUACUAAACCAGCUAAAACCAGUUGAUUCAGUAAAGAAAACCAGCUAAGAACAGGUAAGGCCAGCGUGACAAUGGCCAAAACCACUUUAAACCAUGUUAGAAGUAUGUUUCUAGUCUGAUAAGCAAGUUACUAGCAUGUUGUUAACAUUUUUCUAUUCUAAUCCAGCUAAAACCAGUUGAUUCAGUAAAUAAAACCAGCUAAAACCAGCUAAGACCACCUAAGGCCAGCAUGACAGUGGCCAAAACCACUUUAAAACCAUGUUAAAAGCAUGUUUCUAGUCUGAUUAGUGAGUAACUAGCAUGUUGUUUUCAUUUUUCUAUACUAAACCAGCCAAAACCAGCUUAAACCAUAAAGAAAACCAGCUAAAACCAGCUAAGACCACCUAAGGCCAGCGUGACAGUGGCCAAAACCACUUUAAAACCAUGUUAAAAGCAUGUUUCUAGUCUGAUUAGUGAGUAACUAGCAUGUUGUUUUCAUUUUUCUAUACUAAACCAGCUAAAACCAGUUGAUUCAGUAAAGAAAACCAGCUAAGACCAGGUAAGGCCAGCGUGACAGUGGCCAAAACCACUUUAAACCAUGUUAGAAGUAUGUUUCUAGUCUGAUUAGUGAGUAACUUGCAUGUUGUUAGCAUGUUUCUAUGCUAAUCCGGCCAAAACCAGCUUAAACCAGUGGAUUCAGUAAAAACCAGCUAAAACCCAGCUAAGACCAGCGUGACAGUGGCCAAAACCACUUAAAAACCAGCUUGGGA